rnacentral:rRNA from 1 species
CCUACGGGAGGCUGCAGUGAGGAAUAUUGGUCAAUGGGCGCGAGUCUGAACCAGCCAAGUAGCGUGAAGGAAGACUGUCCUAUGGAUUGUAAACCUCUUUUGUCGGGGAGCAAAAGACGCCACGCGUGGCGUUCCGAGAGUACCCGAUGAAAAAGCAUCGGCUAACUCCGUGCCAGCAGCCGCGGUAAUACGGAGGAUGCGAGCGUUAUCCGGAUUUAUUGGGUUUAAAGGGUGCGCAGGCGGAAGUUAAAGUCAGCGGUAAAAUUGAGAGGCUCAACCUCUUCGAGCCGUUGAAACUGGUAGUCUUGAGUGAACUAGAGGUAGGCGGAAUGCGUGGUGUAGCGGUGAAAUGCAUAGAUAUCACGAAGAACUCCGAUUGUGAAGGCAGUUCACUGGACUGCAACUGACACUGAGGCUCGAAAGUGUGGGUAUCAAACAGGAUUAGAUACCCUGGUAGUC